GUGGACUGUAUAGAAACUGUGCCGGGCAGUGGAUUGUGGAAGAUGUGUCAUAAGCCGGUUCCCCCUGUGGUCUUGUCCUGUCAAAGAAGGACAAGACCACAUGGCCCUCCUUUUCAGCAAAUUAACUGAAGUUGUUCUCGGAAUGUGUCUUUCAGUUUAUCAGCUCAGAAUACAACAAACAAAGAUGGUUUAUUUCACCACGUGUGUUUUAAACCUGGUUUAAUCCCAGUUCUCAAUCGGCUGUUUCAGUGUCUGUUGCUUUAGCCUCUUGACGCCCCUUUCAGGAAGAAGACUCUCUCUGAGUCACUGAUUGACAGCACGGAACAAAACUGUUGCUGACAAAGACAGGAAUGAGUGUGUGACCAGUAUUUUCUAUCACUUCUGACUUUUUCUCUAAAGAAUAUUGCCGGAUUUACUGCACAGCUGUAGCUUUUGAUUUAUGUGUUUUCAGUGGGUUUAUCUGACACUGUUGCAGUUAUGAAAACAGUACUGUAGCAGAGCAACAGCUAGGGAAAUGGCUCUGACAGGACCGCUGGUUCACAUGUGGUCUUUCAGUCACUGUUUCAUGCCCACCUUGCUGCUCACUCUGAAUGGCUCAAUUCACAAGCAGUAGGCAGUGAGGAGCAGGAUUAUGCAAAGUUUACAGUAUAUGACCACUGGUUGCUGAGUUGGAAGGUCACAACUGUAGCGUACUGAGGAGCAGAACAUUCCAGAGCGACACACAAAGAUCCAGAGACCCUCUCCCAAGUAAGAAACCAUUUCAGAAGACCGCUAACUUCAAGCUCACAUCCUAAUGGAACAUCUGCUGAUUGGAUGUUUACUACUAAAGGACCACUCGCGGCUCUCAUGUCUCCUACCUCCACCAGGAUCUGAUAAGGGUCAUAAAGUGUCAACUGUGAGGAAAACCACACUGCUGCAGAAGAGGGUUUGCAGCCUUAAUGGUGACCUUCUGAUCUCCCUACCUGAGCUGUUACAAGUUAACUUCCAUGUAGCUUAAAGUCUAGAAUCUAUCUGUGAUCAUCAUAAAUAUUGAACAAUUAGAUUUGUACAUUUAAGAAAUGAACUAAGAGUAAGUUCAAAAAGCAUCUGGCCUCUGACCUCUCCUGGACAAUGAAGCUCAACGCCACCCCUUGGGAGGAACACAUCCAUGAUUGGUUAGAUGCUGAUUUGAAUUUGGCUCCAAAACUUUCUAUAUAGAGAAAGUCACUGGAAUGCAAGGCACUUAGAAGAAAAAUGCGACUGACUUGGGCUUGAGAACAAAAGAACAAAAGAAAGAGAGGAUCGGGCUAAAGAAGAAAUGGACAUUUGAAAUGGGCUCUUUCAUGAAAACUUAAACUAAAACUUGGUUUGAAAGUAUUGGGUUCAUUUAUUAUGGCUUAAAGAAACGUGUGGCUUAACUUGAAACUAGGGCUUUGUCUUUCUAUAUUUUACUUAAAGUUUGACUUCUUAAACUAACUUUAAUACUACAGCAGCAUGAAUAUUUUCUUGAUAACUAUGAGCUUUGACUCUUAAUGUUUUUACUUGGGCACACUUUUGUAACGCAAACCUGCCAAAGUGCCUCCAUGUCUCUGCGUUCCUGAACCAACUCAUCCAGCAGAUCAUCUCAGCUCCACAUCCUGCAGCGGCCUCCCUCUCACUACUACAAAGGCUACGCAAGUAUCACUUUCCUGCUGCAAAACGGGUGAAUUUGCAAAUUACAGUUGUUUAUCCAAUUUCAUAGUAAUUCUAAAUUCGUCACUUUUCUGCCAACUGCUUCCAGUUACGAUCACAGUUCGCCAGUUUAUCUGCAUUUAUUCAUUCAUGUAUUCACUGUCUGUUUGUAGUAUUAUUUAAUAAAUGUUUCUAUCCAAUUAUCA